rnacentral:rRNA from 1 species
GGAGUCUGGGCCGUGUCUCAGUCCCAAUGUGGCCGUUCAACCUCUCAGUCCGGCUACUGAUCAUCGACUUGGUAGGCCAUCACCCCACCAACAAUCUAAUCAGACGCGAGCCCAUCUCACAGCGAUAAAUCUUUGAUAUGCAUUCUUAUGAACACAUAUAUUAUGAGGUAUUAGCAACUGUUUCCAACUGUUAUCCCUCUCUGCAAGGCAGGUUACUCACGCGUUACUCACCCGUCCGCCACUAAGAAAUGCCUUAACUACCCCGAAGGAUUGAAAAAAACACUCUCCGUUCGACUUGCAUGUGUUAAGCGCGCCGCCAGCGUCGUCCUCGAGCCAUGAUCAAACUACU